GACAUGACUAAAUGUGUUAGGCUGCAAAGCCUUCCUUAAAACUAUGUCAGAGACGGAAAGGAAUCACAACCAUGCAAAGCUGAACUAAAGCAAUGCGAUGUCUCCAUGCCAUUAGGCAGAGUAAAUUGCAAGUCAAAUCAGUGUUGCUGGCAGCACCAACUCUUUUGCUUUAAGCUGCACACAGCGGAUCCCUCAUCACACAGGUGCUCUAAGUCUGAAGCAAACAAUUCAUGCAGUCAAGGAGUAACUACAGCGUUAAAGGAAAAAAAUAAAUGGAGCAGUAGAGGGGAUGGAAAAGUAAGGCAUCUGUCCUAAUGUCAGGGGCUUCCAGGAGUCACACAUCAGUAUGGCUGCUGCUCAGAGGCCAGGCAACCUGCCUCAUUUCCAAAGACAAAAGGGACUUCAACAAGCUCUAUAAGUGUUCGGCUGAGUGGCUGCAAGUGAGGAAGGACUCGGCUUGAUGGGAAUUAAUAUCUCUGUGGAUAUUGACAAGAGUUGUUGGAUAAAGAAAGAAACUACCUCUCCACAUCCAAGAAAAGAGAAGGGGCGGAUGGCUGAGAGCACUGCUGGGAUCAGAUGUGAGGUGGGAGAGCACCAGCGCUGUCAGCAAGAUGUAUUAAAAGGACUCAGAGGGAUCUCUGUAAUGGCUGCUGAUGUUCUAGGUUGUGUGGCAGAAGCUGUGAUACAUCAUGAUGCCAUCUUGCUCUGUCAGUUAGAAAGAGUCAGGGAAUAGAUCUGAAGCUGAAUAAAGCCAUAAUGGUGUUGGGAUUGUUUGCAAUACCUUGUAGGAGACAUCUGGUGAUCUCCCCGGGGCUGGGACAGACCUCAGCAGCCUGGAGCAACGCAACCAAUUCCUACUCUCAGAUGCACAGAAUCCAUCCAGAGUCUACGUUGCUACUUCUGAGGUCCCGAAUGAACGGCAGUGAAUAAAUAUUGCCGAGUCUUAAUGGAAAGUCAUGUCUUACCCAAGUCGCAUGCUUUUCACCAGAAAGAAAAGUGGAAGGCACAUGUCAGUGCCAACAGCACCAUCUUCUGUCUGCAGAGGUUAUGCAGCCUUCACUCACGCUUCCCUGAGUCCUCCAGAGAUGGGGCCGGUUGAGACUCCUGGAUCUACUGCUGGAUGUUGAGCUCUUCGUGAGUUUGAGUGUCUGAACAAGUCUGAUUGUAUGCGGGGAAGUGUGGGUGUAUGAAAGGCUACAAAAGCUUCAGCUCUUGUACCACUUAUCCCUGGAGCAACCUUUUCAUCUGCCUUUUAUUAUUCUCCUCACAAAAACUCAGUUGCAAAACUUACCCUACAUUUUUUUUUCCCUGUGGCUGAAUAUAUUGCCAGUUUAUAAUUUUUAUUAUUAUUGCUUCUUGCAAUUAGUGUUAUCCUUCUUCUCUACGCAUAUUACUGCACUGACUGUCCUUAGGGGAGCAGCAGGCAAUCAUUUUUGCCUUAGGAAAUUUGCAGCCCAAAUGGAUGAGAAGAUAAGCACAGUCAGGGGACCACCUUACUGGUUCACAUAGAUAGCGUAGGAUUAAUGUCAGUGUUAAAACAAAGCCGUGUUUGUGGAAUGAGAGAGAAAAACAAGGCGGUGUUUAGCAUGAAGAAAAACAUGAAGCAUGAAAGUACUUGCUUGAAAGUCCAGUGCAUGGACAAUUAGGACUGGUAGCGUUGGGUAGGUCAGUGUGAAAGCCAAUGUCUUGGCAUUAGAUAAGAGGAUGGGAAAGUAUAAAGUCAAAGAUUAUUUUGGAUGUAACUAGAAGAAAGGGAUGCCACAACUGGCUGAGCAAACUUUAGUGAGAGUAAAUCUUGCUGACUGCAGGAAACCUGGUCAGUGAGGGUCUGAAGUGGAACUGGAGCAGACAAACUCCAUACUCACUGUAAGUGGGAAGUAAGUUUAGAUAUGAAGGGGAGGAGGGAGAGAAGGCAGUAGCUGAGGAGACAGGCUGAAUCUCCUUUUAAAGGACGAAAGAUUAAAAUAUACUUGCAUCACAACCCAAAAGAGCUAGAAGAAAGGUUUAAAAGCAGUGUAGAGGAGGAAAUGAAACAGGAUUGAGAGGAUUAGGAAAUAAAAGCACAGCCAGCUUGUAGAAAUGAUCUGACCACCUACUUGGCUAGACAUUAUUUAUUUUCUCUUCCAGUUGGACCACUUCUUCCUCUAUCCCUCUUAGCCAAGGGUUCAAGGAUUAAAGAACAAACUCUACAUGAGGUGGCUUUCUUCUUUGCCUCUCUCAUCCCUUGUAACUCUUUUUCCUAUCCCCUAGCUUUCGCUAGUGCUUUCGCUUCUACCCAACUUGUUCAGCUUCAUCUAAACUUAGAAGAUAUGUACACAGGUCCCACUCACGAAGAGCUCCAAGCAUGGCAUCCACCCAGCAGGAAGCUGUGUCCUCUGCAUCCCCUGCAGCCUCUCUGUCCACAGAAACCAACGUGGCUUCCCAGACAGAGCUCCCAGGGAACAUGCAGCCACUCAGGUGUAGGGUUGCAGAGAGUGCCUGAACUCUGGAACUCAAUGGACAAGCAAAUGUGGAUGAAGGUCCAUCCAGGUUGGAGGGGUCACUUAUGGUCACUUUCGUCAAGAAAAACAGAAAGGCAGUUGUUAGAGAAACACAGAAUAUAUCAAUCUGAAAGAGGAUCACCAGGAUCACUGAGUCCAACUGCCAGCUCCAAACAGAAACACCCAAAACUCAAACCCUAUGUCUGAGAGAAUUGCUCAAAUGCUCCUUGAACUCUAGCAGCCUGGGGCCAUGGCCACUUCCCUGGGGACCACUCCUGCUGCAGUUGUUAACAUACUGUUAAUACUAAGCAUAAAUUUUGCUAUUUAUGUACCAACUAGCUCAUUACAUAUUAAUGAAUGCCUUCUGGGUGUAUUCAGUGCUAGUCAGACAGGGAUAAUCUUUCUUCCCAUGACCCCUACUGUUCCUUUCUUUUUCUUGACUUCAUAUCUACCUUCCUGAUUUUUUUUCCCUUUAGCUUUCUGCAUCACGUUCACAUACUCCCUAGUCUAACCUCUCAUGAGCUGAAUUCCUCAUCCACUUGUCUGAUCUGACAAUCUGCAGUAGUGCAGUUCAAAUGUAAAUGCUGUGUUUCAGUUGAUAAGAUUUUGCACCCGUUGUGAUAAAAAUAAAGGCAAGGUGGAAUUCAGACAAUAAUGGAGAAAAACAAAGCACCUGAUAUGUUAUUGUUUUGAUUGUACACACCUUUAAAGCUUAAUUUGGCUAGGUCCUGCAUGUGCCUGGAACUUUUGGGGACUUAUUCAAGCCUGUUUAAAAGAAGUGCCAACAAUACAUCUUGACUGCAUGCUUUAGGUAACAAAUGGAAGAAUUACUAAAGACAUCAGAGUGACUGGAUAAGCAAACAAAACAUGCUAUAGCAUAGAAGAGUUCUCAGCUGGUAGCAUUCUGUUCAGUUAUUUCAUACAUCCUGUCAUUCCUCUUCUGCAAAGUGUUUUUGUGUGAGUGAAACAAGGUACAGUGUUUUACUUCACAUUUAAUUGUAUCACUUUGAAUUGUUUUCUUGAUCUUUUUCUUGAGUAGUUAUUUUAUUUGGAACGACAUACACGGCAAAGUGUUAAACCUAAAAGGAAACCUUAUUAACAAGCAGGAUUAAAAGUUGUUCCUUUUCCCACACAGGUAGACUUGUUGUGUUCUGCCAUGGUCAUGUGGACAGGUCUCAGCAACUAGAGAAUGCCUGUUUUAUAAAUGAUCGUUUGAAGCUGGCAGCCCAUGGCUUCAACAGCUAUGCUCUCUGUUGGAUAAAAAACUGGCUGGAGGACCAAGCCCAGAGAGCAGGGGUGGAUGGAGUUAAAUCCAGCAGGCAACCUGUCACGAGUGGUGUUCCACAAGGGUCCGUCUUGGGGCCUGUCCUGUUUAAGAUCGUUGCUGAUGAUCUCAACAAGGGGAUUAAGUGAACCCUC
ensembl:lncRNA